CCCCUUCAGACCCUCUCUCACUCCGUUUUCCGCAGCGUGAGUGAAGCCCGGGUGAGGUGUUUUCCCACACGCCGGGGGCCCGGAGCUGAGAGGGGGCAUGGCCAGCAUCACGCAGCUGUUCGACGACCUGUGUGAGGCCCUCCUGCCGGCUGCCAAGACUCACCUGGGCCAGCGCAGUGUGAACCGGAAGACGGCAAAGCGGAACCUCAAGAAGGUGGCCUACAGUGCGCUGUUCACAAAUCUUUUUCAAGAUGAGACUCAACAGCUGCAGCUUGACAUGUCAAAACUACCAGCGAGAAACAAGAUCCUCAUGUUGUCCUUUGACUUGAGAGUGGGUGGCCGGGGCCCCGAGGCCGACCGUCUGGAGGAGCUUGUGGAGGAGCUUGAAGCAGCCCCUUGCUGUCCGCUUUUGGAGGUGGGGUCUGUUUUGGACCUCCUGGUUCAGCUGGCAGGGAGUGGUCCCCCUCAACUUCUGCGGAGAAAUCGAGACUACUUCCUCAACAACAAGCACGUGGGGAGAAACGUUCCGUAUAGCGGCUAUGAUUGCGACCACCUGAGUGUGUUUGAGACGGACGUUCAGUCUCUGAUCUCCAGAGAAGAGUGUUUGUGUCACAGCAUGAUCCAGGAAACACUUCAGGUUAUGGAGGCUGCUCCAGGCACCGGCCUACCCACCGUCGGGCUCUUCUCAUUUGGUGACCCUUGUGGUGACAGGUUUGAGAGAGACACCCGUGUCUCGCUCUUCGGGGCCCUUGUGCACAGCCGCACUUACGACAUGGACGUCCGACUGGGCCUGCCCCCUGUGCCAGACAAUGCAGACCUGUCUGGGCUGGCCAUUAAGGUCCCACCGAAUGUGGAUCAGUGGGAAGACGAAGGAUUCCAGUCAGCGUCCAACCUGACUCCUGAUUCCCAGUCUGAGCCCAGCAUGACCCCAGACGUGGACCUGUGGGAAGCCGCACUCACCUAUGAGGCCAGCAAGCGGAGGUGCUGGGAGCGAGUUGGCUGCCCCCCUGGCCACAGAGAGGAGCCUUACUUGACAGAGGCGGGAAGGGACGCUUUCGACAAGUUCUGCAGGCUCCGCCAAGGGGAGCUUCAGCUGCUUGCUGGGGGCGUCCUACAGGCCGCGCAGCCCGUGCUGGUGAAGGAGUGUGAGCUGGUGAAAGAUGUGCUGAACGUCUUGAUUGGGGUCGUGUCUGCCACGUUUUCCCUCUGCCAGCCGGCCCAGGCCUUUGUGGUGAAGCGGGGUGUCCACGUGUCAGGAGCGUCUCCCGAGAGCAUCAGCAGCCUGCUCUCGGAGGUGGCCGAGUAUGGGACCUGCUACACACGCCUGAGUCACUUCUCUCUGCAACCUGUCCUGGACUCUUCGUACAGCAAAGGCCUCGUGUUCCAGGCCUUCACCAGUGGCCUGAGGAGGUACCUGCAGUAUUACCGGGCCUGCGUCCUUUCCACUUCGCCCACCCUGAGCCUCCUCACCAUUGGUUUUCUCUUCAAGAAACUGGGCCGGCAGCUCAGGUACCUGGCCGAGCUCUGUGGCGUUGGUGCUGUGCUCCCAGGCACCUGCGGAGGAGGCCCCAGGGCUGCGUUUCCCACCGGUGUGAAGCUGCUGUCCUACCUCUACCAGGAGGCGCUGCACAACUGCAGCAACGAGCACUACCCUGUGCUGCUGUCCCUGCUGAAGACCAGCUGCGAGCCCUACACCCGGUUCAUCCAUGACUGGGUGUACAGCGGGGUGUUCAGAGACGCUUAUGGCGAGUUCAUGAUUCAGGUGAACCACGAGUACCUCAGCUUCCGAGAUAAGUCGUACUGGACACAUGGCUACGUGCUCAUCUCCAAAGAGGUGGAGGACUGUGUUCCCGUGUUUCUGAAGCACAUUGCCCACGACGUGUACGUCUGCGGGAAGACCAUUAACCUGCUGAAGCUCUGCUGCCCCCGGCAUUACCUCUGUUGGUCUGACGUCCCCGUCCCCCGGAUCUCGGUGAUUUUCUCCCUCGAGGAGUUGAAGGAGAUUGAAAAGGACUGUGCCGUCUAUGUCGGGCGCAUGGAGAGGGUGGCCCGCCACAGCUCCGUCAGCAAGGAGGAGAAGGAAUUACGUAUGGAAAUUGCAAAACAAGAAUUAAUUGCUCAUGCCCGGGAAGCAGCAUCCAGGGUCCUGAGUGCACUGAGUGACCGGCAGAUGUCAGAACGGAUGGCCUUGGACGCCCGAAAGCGCGAGCAGUUUCAGAGGCUGAAAGAACAGUUUGUGAAGGACCAGGAGCGACGCCAGGCGGCCAGGCAGGAGGAGCUGGAGGAUGACUUCAGCUACGCCCGUGAGCUCCGAGACAGGGAGAGGAGGCUGAAGUCCCUGGAGGAGGAGCUGGAGAGGAAGGCGAGGCAGGCGCUGGUCGACCACUACAGCAAGCUCUCUGCAGAGGCAGCUCGUCGGGAGCAGAAGGCGCUGUGGAGAAUCCAGAGGCACCGACUGGAGAGUGCACGGCUUCGUUUUCUCUUAGAAGAUGAGAAACACGUUCAGGAGAGGGCUGGUGGCUCUCGUGUUUGCAGCAGAGCACUGUCUCUCCCCUGCGUGCCACCAAAUUGCACAGAUACAGGUGGUGAGGAGCUCGUGGUUUUGAAGUACUUUCUGCAGGCCCAAGGUCCCAGUGGAGCCCAGCACAAGCCUUGUCUGGUUCAGUACACACGGUUGCCAUGGGUGGUAGGGGCUGUGCUUGACUCCAGCUCUGCUGGUCACCCCUCUGACUUGAAUUUACAGGAGAUGCUGAAAGCAAUGUCUGAGGGUCACCAGCCCCAGGAGCCGCCAGAUGUCCUGAGCGUGCACCCCCAGGUCACAUCUCUGGGCCCUGAGCACCAAGAGGGAGACCAAGGCUGUGAUGCUGGGCCUGCGGAGCAACACUUGGCUGCCUGGGAUGGCCGGAACAGGCCAGGCCUGCUGACCCCACAGUCCCUUAAGCCUCUAGCAAUGGGGGCUGGUGGCACAGGGCUGCAGCAGGCGGAGGAGGCCGGACCCUUCUCUGACAGCCUCAGCAUUGGAGACUUCCUACCUGUGGGCCCAGGGGCUGAGCAGUCCGUGCAGACUGGCAUGGUCCCUCUCCUGGAGGCGGCGCUGCAGACCAUCAAUUUGGACCUGCCCCCCUCAGCUCCUGGGGAGGCACCCGCAGCAGCCAGCACUCAGCCUUCCAGGCCACAGGAGUACGACUUUAGUACUGUCCUGAGGCCAGCUGCGGCCGCUUCACCUGCACCAGGACCCCUGAAGGCUGCAGAGUGUAACUUGGGCAGCUCCGGACCACAGCUGUGGGAGGACAGUUGUGGGAAGCUGGAUGCCUGUGGCUCCACCUUACAGGUGGCUCUGUCCCCCUCACACCCACCCAGGCGUGCCACUCCGAAGGAGGGUAGCAGCCAGCCCACGGAGCAGCUCUUCGGGCACGAGUCAGGAGGUGGUCUUCCCACAGGGGGCUGUGCUUCUGAAAUAGCUCUCACCCGGCCACAGUGGAACAUCCACAGGCACGUGUCUGACGCCAGCAUCAGGGUCGGGGAGAACGUGUCACAAGUGGCUCCCGCCCGGCCACGGUGGAACACCCAUGGACACGUGUCCGAUGCGAGCAUCAGCUUGGGGGAGUCUGUGUCAGAGGUGGCUCCCACUCGGCCACGGUGGAACAUCCAUGGGCACGUGUCUGACGCCAGCAUCAGGGUCGGGGAGAACGUGUCGGAUGUGGCUCCCACCCGGCCACGGUGGAACGCCCAUGGACACGUGUCUGACGCCAGCAUCAGCUUGGGGGAGCCUGUGUCGGACGUGGUUUCCACCCGGCCACGGUGGAACGCCCAUGGACACGUGUCCGAUGCGAGCAUCAGCUUGGGGGAGCCUGUGUCGGACGUGGCUCCCACCCGGCCACGGUGGAACAUCCAUGGACACGUGUCUGACGCCAGCAUCAGCUUGGGGGAGUCUGUGUCAGAGGUGGCUCCCACCCGGCCACGGUGGAACACCCGUGCAUCCGUCCCUCCGCCCCACAUGAUGCUGGGGGCUGUCUCACCAGAAGCUGGGCCCAACACACCCGCGCCCCAACAGAGCCCCCCUGGCCACACGUCCCAGUCAGUGCUCAGCCCGGGAGCACAGAGCACUGUGCUGGACUGUGGGCCACGGCUGCCUGUAGAAUUGGGGCCAUCUCUGUCCUCCCCCAGCUCAGGCUGCGGGGAGGGGAGCAUCAGCAUCGGGGAGAAUGUGUCAGACGUGGCUCCCACCUGGCCAUGGUUGCCCAACACUCCAGGAGACAGUGUCUCUGAAGAACUAGGCCCUGGGAGGAGCGGGGACGCUGAGGAGCCUCUGAACUCACAGGAAAACGCAGCUGCCCAGAGCAGCCUAGGCCCUGGUGAGGAGGCGGCAGUGGCGGCGGAGGCUCGGGGCAGUGAGCAGGCCUACCUGGCAGGCCUGGCAGGGCAGUACCACUUGGAGCGGUACCCGGACAGUUACGAGUCCAUGUUGUGUGCUCCAUCUCCUGCAGCUGAGCCGCCCAUCGCUCACCUUUUGCGCCCCGUGCUUCCCCGGGCUUUCGCCUUUCCCGUGGACCCCCAGGUCCAGUCUGCCGCGGAUGAGACUGCCGUGCAGCUGAGCGAGUUGCUGACGCUGCCCGUGCUCAUGAAGCACUCCAUCAUGGCACCAUUGGCCGCCCACAUCUCCUUGGUGAACAAGGCUGCCGUCGACUACUUCUUUGUGGAGCUGCACCUGGAGGCACACUACGAGGCGCUGCGGCACUUCCUGCUGAUGGAGGACGGCGAGUUCGCCCAGUCCCUCAGCGACCUGCUCUUUGAGAAGGUGACCUCCGGACAUGGAGUGGGGCCAGUGGUAGAGGGGAGGCCGUGGGAAAGGAGAUUGGCUGCAGGCCCACAGACCCAUGGGGCGCCAGCAAGUGCCAGGUAUGUGCUUGGGACUCCUGGGGACACUGGUCCCUUUUCUGCCCAGCUUGGGGCCGGGCAGACACCCGGGGAGCUGCUCAACCCACUGGUGCUGAACUCUGUGCUGAGCAAGGCCCUGCAGUGCAGCCUUCAUGGGGACACCCCGCACGCCUCCAACCUCUCCCUCGCCCUCAAGUACCUGCCCGAGGUGUUUGCCCCCAACGCCCCAGAUGUGCUGAGCUGCCUGGAGCUCAGGUGGACUGGCCGCUCAACGUUGUCAUCACUGAGGGCUGCCUGAGCAAGUACAGUGGCGUCUUCUCCUUCCUGCUGCAGCUGAAGCUCAUGAUGUGGGCGCUCAAGGAUAUCUGCUUCCACCUCAAGCGCACAGCCCUGCUGAGCCACAUGGCCAGCUCCGUGCAGUUCCGCCAGCUGCAGCUGUUCAAGCACGAAAUGCAGCACUUCGUGAAGGUCAUCCAGGGCUACAUCGCCAACCAGAUCCUGCACGUCACCUGGUGUGAGUUCAGGGCCAGGCUGGCCACCGUGGGCGACCUGGAGGAGAUCCAGCGUGCACAUGCAGAGUACUUGCACAAGGCCGUCUUCAGGUGAGGCCCGGGCAGCGGCUGUCCCCCUGUGGUCGUGGUUGAGCCCACCCAGCAGCACUGCCUCCCCGCAGGGGCCUGCUCACGGAGAAGGCAGCGCCUGUCAUGAACGUCAUCCACAGCAUCUUCAGCCUUGUGCUCAAAUUCCGCAGCCAGCUCAUUUCCCAAGCCUGGGGCCCUGCUGGGGGUCCGCGGGGUGCAGAGCACCCCAACUUUGCACUCAUGCAGCAGUCCUACAACACCUUCAAGUACUACUCCCACUUUCUCUUCAAAGUGGUGACCAAGCUGGUGAACCGCGGCUACCAGCCCCACCUGGAGGACUUUCUGCUGCGCAUCAACUUCAACAACUACUACCAGGACACCUGAGGCUGCUCUGCGGGGGACAUG